rnacentral:rRNA from 1 species
AGUGGCGGACGGGUGAGUAACGCGUGAGAAUCUGCCCUUUGGAUGGGGAUAACGACUGGAAACGGUCGCUAAUACCCAAUAUGCCGAGAGGUGAAACUUAUAUGGCCAGAGGAUGAGCUCGCGUCUGAUUAGCUAGUUGGAGUGGUAACGGCACACCAAGGCGACGAUCAGUAGCUGGUCUGAGAGGAUGAUCAGCCACACUGGGACUGAGACACGGCCCAGACUCCUACGGGAGGCAGCAGUGGGGAAUUUUCCGCAAUGGGCGAAAGCCUGACGGAGCAAGACCGCGUGAGGGAGGAAGGCCUACUGGUUGUAAACCUCUUUUGAUAGGGAAGAAGAAAGUGACGGUACCUAUCGAAUCAGCAUCGGCUAACUCCGUGCCAGCAGCCGCGGUAAUACGGAGGAUGCAAGCGUUAUCCGGAAUUAUUGGGCGUAAAGCGUCCGUAGGUGGUUAUUCAAGUCAGCUGUCAAAGGAUGGAGCUUAACUCCAUAAAGGCAGUUGAAACUGUGUAGCUAGAGUGCGAUAGGGGCAAGGGGAAUUCCCAGUGUAGCGGUGAAAUGCGUAGAUAUUGGGAAGAACAUCGGUGGCGAAAGCGCCUUGCUGGGUCUGCACUGACACUGAGGGACGAAAGCUAGGGGAGCGAGAGGGAUUAGAUACCCCUGUAGUCUUAGCUGUAAACGAUGGAUACUAGGCGUUG